AGUCUGGUGCUCCAUUUAGGCAGGGCUGUUGGGAGUUUACAAUGUACUUCUCCUUCAUGCAGGCUUCUAUGUAUGUUACCAUCCGGGAGAGCGUGAAGGGACACCAGUUUCUAGUGGAAGACAGACAUGGGAAAGGAAUUUUAAUUUCCUUUUGACUCAAGCUUCUUCUGCCAAGGAGAAAGAGAAGUAGAAAGAAGUUGCUCAUGAGAGCAGACAAGAAGAGCUUUCUCUCCAGUCUGGUGAAUGGGUGGUGAGCUGUGACAGUUUCAAGAAUGAAAGGAAGGAGAAUGAUGCUUCACUGACAAAACAAGGCAGAAUGCUGGUGCAGCACUGCUAGAUCACCUCUGAGUCUGAGGGAUAUGAGACGAGCAGCCCACAGUUCAGUACGUCACACAGAGCAUUAGAUGGAAAGCUUUUCUGGACUCACUCCAAUGCCAGCUGCAAAACAGAGGACAAAAUCUCUCUAGGAUUUUUGGAAGGCCUUGCUAUGAAAAGCUGUGAAUGUGCAUCUCCUUAUCAGUGGUUGGCUCUGCACAGCUCUCCUGAUAG